UACAGAGGUCGCAAGCGUUGUUCGGAUUCAUUGGGCGUAAAGGGUGCGUAGGCGGCGCGGUAAGUCGGGUGUGAAAUCUUGGAGCUUAACUCCGAAACUGCAUUCGAUACUGCCGUGCUUGAGGACUGGAGAGGAGACUGGAAUUUACGGUGUAGCGGUGAAAUGCGUAGAUAUCGUAAGGAAGACCAGUGGCGAAGGCGGGUCUCUGGACAGUUCCUGACGCUGAGGCACGAAGGCCAGGGGAGCAAACGGG
rnacentral:rRNA from 1 species